rnacentral:piRNA from 1 species
UGGAAGCAGCUUUGUAACUAGGUAAUGGGU